CAGGCGGCCGCCCCUUGGGGGCCCCGCCCUCGCGCGGGCCCCGCCCCGCCCCCAUGCCCAGAGGCCUCCACGGCCGCAGGCGCUCGCGGAGGCGGCGAGUUCUGUCGGCGGCGGGGGCGGCUGUGGGACUCCGCUUCCAGAAGGUUCGGUGGCAGUUGGGUGGCGCGCGCAGCGCAGCGCACGCGCCAGCGCGGAGCAGGCGAGCGGCCUGCGGCGGACACCACGCAGGCCGGAGGCCCGGUCGUGGAGCGUCCCCGGGGCGUGUGCGUGCGUGGCUUCGGUGGCAGCCGGGAGUCUACGGGGCGUUCCCGUGCGCCGGCGUGGCGAUUCGCUACCGACCGGGGCCGGCCACCCGAUGAGGUCACCGCGGGGAGGCCGGACCGGGACGGGCACGGCGCCGAGAGCCGCGUACC
rnacentral:lncRNA from 1 species